AGUACCCGGAGGAAGAGAAAACAAAAGUGAUUACGCUAGUAGUGGCGAGCGAACGCGUAUUAGCCCAAACCAUAUAGUUUACGGACUAUGUGGGGUUGUAGGACUACAAUAUUUGAUGCAUGCAGAAUUAGAAUCCUUUGGAAAGAGGAACCAUAGAGGGUGAUAGUCCCGUAUAGGUAAUAAAUGUUAUUGAUAGUAGUAUCCUGAGUAGUGCGGGGCACGUGUAACCCUGUAUGAAUUUGUCGGGACCAUCCGAUAAGGC
rnacentral:rRNA from 10 species